ensembl:lncRNA
GACAAAUUAAGCACUUGGACACACCCCUAACCAGUCCCACCUAUGGAUCCUCUCAGCCUACAUGGACUUAUCAUCAUCCAGCUAAUUGCCAGUUUGGCUUGACCAUUAUUGACUUCCUUGGACACAGUUUCACCAAGGACGGGCCAUUUCACUCUGAUAUAAGGUUGCCUCGAUCUUGGACCCUCCUUGCCCAGUCGCAGUGAGGUCACUGCAGGAGUUCCUGGGAAUGUCAACUUCAACCUCCGCUUCAUUCCCAAAGCAGCUGCACUUAUGCGCCCCUUGCUAGAGGACUUGAAGAGGAAAGCGCCCAAACACCUGGUGGAUUGGUCCUUGGAGAGAGACAGUGCAUUUAUAGAUGCUAAGAAAGCUUUGGCCAACGCAAUAAUGCUAGCACACCCAUCACCUGACGAGUCAAUUGCCAUCACCAUAGACGCAUCGGACUAUGCUGUUGGAGCUGUGCACGAACAGUGGGUGUAUGGUGCUUGGCUGCCGCUCGCUUUCUUUAGCCGGCUGGGUUACGCUCCAGUGAAUGUGAGUACAGCACUUUUGACGGAGAAGGAGGAGUGGGCAGCUGAAAGGUGUCGUAGCGAAACAAAUGUUGUUUCGGGCCCGGCAUCCUAGUCAGGGUUUCAAAAUCACCACCACACCAAGGCACCUCUUGUGCAUUUCGUGCCGAGCGAGAUUCGACCAUGUCAAAGUUAACCUGGUGGGCCCCCUUUCCUCCUCCCUGGGUUUCAUUUACUUCCUCACCAUGGGGGAUAGGAUCCCUCGAUGGCCGGAGGCUGUCCCACUGACAGCAGCGACUACUGCUGAGAUGGCUCGGGCGUUCAUUGGGACCUGGGUCGCCCUGGUUUAUCAACCCCUUUUUGGACCGGGGCUCACAGUUAAGCUCUGAGAUCUGGAACACCAUUGGGAACAGCCUGUGUGAGAAACUCCAUCGCACAACUCUGUAUCAGCCCCAGGCUAAUGGACGGAGAGAACGCUUUCAUUGUACAAUGAAGGCCUGAUUCGGGCCUCCCUGGAGGACAAUUGCUGGGUGGACAAGCUCCCUUGGAUCAUGCUGGGCCUGGGUAUGAUAUAAUCUCCAUCGUUCUGUGUCAUAGAGAUGCUGUCUCUUUAAGAUCGCGAGACUUGUUUGUUGAAAUAACCAGUUGCUGCGAUGUUUGAGUUGAAUGGUUUUGGUUGAAUGAAUAAACAACAAGUGACAAAUGUGUUGUCAAC